GUUUCUUCCAAACAACUCAACUUUGGUUUCAUCUGUCCACAGAAUAUUUUGCCAGUACUGCUGUGGAACAUCCAGGUGCUCUUGUGCAAACUGUAAACGUGCAGCAAUGUUUUGUUUGGAAAACAGUGGCUUCUUCUGUGGUAUCCUCCCAUGAAAUCCAUUCUUGUUUAGUGUUUUACGUAUUGUAGAUUCGCUAACAGGGAUGUUAGCAUUUGCCAGUGGCUUUUGUAAGUCUUU